UACGGAGGGCGCAAGCGUUGUUCGGAAUUACUGGGCGUAAAGCGCGUGUAGGCGGCCAGGUAAGUCGGAUGUGAAAGCCCGGGGCCCAACCCCGGAACUGCACCCGAUACUGCCCGGCUGGAGUCCCGGAGAGGAUGGCGGAAUUUCCGGUGUAGAGGUGAAAUUCGUAGAUAUCGGAAGGAACACCAGUGGCGAAGGUGGCCAUCGGGACGGUGACUGACGAUGAGACGCGAAAGCGUGGGGAGCAAACAGG
rnacentral:rRNA from 1 species